UACUAGAGUAGCACUCGCAUAUCAAUAAGCGGAGGAAAAGAAACUAACAAGGAUUCCCCUAGUAACGGCGAGUGAAGCGGGAAGAGCUCAAAUUUGAAAUCUUAAAGGGUUUCCCUUUACGAAUUGUAGUUUAAAGAAGUGUUUUCCUGUUGAGGUUUUGGUAAAAGUUCUUUGGAAUAGGACAUCAUAGAGGGUGAGAAUCCCGUAUUUGACCUUUACUUUCAACUUUGUGAUACACUUUCAAAGAGUCGGAUUGUUUGGGAAUGCAGUCCAAAAUGGGUGGUAAAUUUCAUCUAAAGCUAAAUAUUGGCGAGAGACCGAUAGCGAACAAGUACCGUGAGGGAAAGAUGAAAAAGAACUUUGAAAAGAGAGUUAAACAGUACGUGAAAUUGUCAAAAGGGAAGCGUUUGACACCAGUGUUGUUUUUCUGAAAAUCAAUUAAAGAACUGUUUAUGCUAAGCUGUUUAGACUUUAUCAGCUAUCUGUUUAGUUUUGAGCUUUUCUUUAAUGCACUUUUCAGUUAACAAGAUCAACAUCAAUUUCUUUUGCUGUAAAAAAGCUUGAGGAAGGUGGCUUGAGAUUCGUCUUAAGUGUUUAUAGCCUCUUGCCUAUGCAGUCGGAGAGAUUGAGGUCUGCAGCGUAGAUCCUUCGGGGCUAAAUGCAUUUGUGCUAAGUUAUAGCAUUUUAUAGACAACUUGUUGACUAUGAUUUGUCUUGUAGCUUACUCGCUUAUGUUAUUUUACCUACGCUUAGGAUGUUGAGUAGCGACAUACGCAC
rnacentral:rRNA from 1 species